AGAGUUUGAUCAUGGCUCAGAAUCAACGCUGGCGGCGUGCCUCAGACAUGCAAGUCGAACGCGAAAGCCCCUUUCGGGGGGCAAGUAGAGUGGCGCACGGGUGAGUAACACGUAGGUAAUCUACCUUCGGAUGGGGAAUAACAACCGGAAACGGUUGCUAAUACCGCAUAAUGCAGCGGCACCUAAUGGUGACAGUUGUUAAAGCGGGGGAUCGUAAGACCUCGCGUCUGAAGAGGAGCCUGCGGCAGAUUAGCUAGUUGGUAAGGUAACGGCUUACCAAGGCGAUGAUCUGUAGCCGGCCUGAGAGGGCGGUCGGCCACACUGACACUGACAUACGGGUCAGACUCCUACGGGAGGCAGCAGUCGGGAAUUUUGGGCAAUGGGCGAAAGCCUGACCCAGCAACGCCGCGUGAAGGAUGAAAUCCCUCGGGAUGUAAACUUCGCAAGAACGGGAAGAAUAAGUGAGAGUUAAUAUCUCUUACGAUGACGGUACUGUUUGUAAGCUCCGGCUAACUCCGUGCCAGCCGCGGCGGUAAUAC
rnacentral:rRNA from 1 species